CGCUUUCUUCUGCGGGCGACCGUCGUGGGGCGCGUCCCUCGAUUUUCCUCUUUGCCCGUGGACGGUCUCAGUUCCCGGGCAUUGUGCUCGGUGCCUUGUGCUGGUAUAGUGUGCGGGUAUACGGGUUGCUGUGUUUUGAUUGCUGCCCGCCCCCUUUCGUCGGGCGGCUGCUUUUCCGGCCCUGUCGGCGUGCCCCGGCGAGUUCUCGGACUCGUCCGGCGCGUCGGUUCGAUGCGGGCUCUCUCGGUUGCUGUGAUCGUUGCGAGGCCGGCGGGCCGUAAGGCCCGUCGUCCUUCCCUCGGUGCGUACGGACCGAGGCCUGCGCCCGAGAUGUGCGUGCGAUGUUCCGGUCGCGUCGCGACGCGUGCCUCUCCCCUCGAGGAGCGGCGGGCGUCGUCGCGCCGGAUGUCGCGUAGGACGGUGUUACCUGG
rnacentral:misc_RNA from 1 species